GCCCGACUAGCUCAGUCGGUAGUCGGUAGAGCAUGAGACUCUUAAUUUCAGGGUCGUGGGUUCAAGCCCCGCGUUGGGCA